CGGGGCGUGGCUCAGCUUGGUAGAGCGCUUCGUUCGGGACGAAGAGGUCGCUGGUUCGAAUCCAGUCGCCCCGACCA
rnacentral:tRNA from 3 species